GGGAACGUAUUCACCGCAGCGUUGCUGAUCUGCGAUUACUAGCGACUCCGACUUCAUGAGGUCGAGUUGCAGACCUCAAUCCGAACUGAGACCGGCUUUUUGGGAUUCGCUCCGCCUUACGACAUCGCAGCCCUUUGUACCGGCCAUUGUAGCAUGCGUGAAGCCCAAGACAUAAGGGGCAUGAUGAUUUGACGUCAUCCCCACCUUCCUCCGAGUUGACCCCGGCAGUCUCUUAUGAGUCCCCACCAUGACGUGCUGGCAACAUAAGACGAGGGUUGCGCUCGUUGCGGGACUUAACCCAACAUCUCACGACACGAGCUGACGACAACCAUGCACCACCUGUACACCGACCUUGCGGGGCAACCAUCUCUGGAAGUUUCCGGUGUAUGUCAAGCCUUGG
rnacentral:rRNA from 1 species